ACAGCCACAUCACGUUGAAACACGGGUUCCUGUACGAUCAUAGAAGUUAAGCAACAUCGAUUCUAGUCAGUGCCUAGAUGGGUGACCGCUUGGGAAUACCAGGUGCUGUAA
rnacentral:rRNA from 1 species